rnacentral:misc_RNA from 1 species
GAUGAAGAACGUAGCGAAAUGCGAUAAGUAAUGUGAAUUGCAGAAUUCAGUGAAUCAUCGAAUCUUUGAACGCACAUUGCGCCCAUUAGUAUUCUAGUGGGCAUGCCUGUUCGAGCGUCAUUAAGUCCACUUAAGCCCUGCUUAGUGUUGGGAGACUGCUCCAGCGGUGCUACCCUGUAGCUACCCUGCAGCUCCUCAAAGACAGCGGCGGAGUUGUGGUAUCCUCUGAGCUUAGUAACUUGUUCUAGCUUUCGAGUACACCACUUCCCCUGCCGUAAAACCCUUAAUUUUUAAUGGUUGACCUCGGAUCAGGUAGGAAUACCCGCUGAACUUAAGCAUACAAUAAGCGGAGGA